UCUGUGACCUAUACCACAGCUCAUGGCAAUGACAGAUCCUUAACCCCCGAGCAAGGCCAAGGAUCAAACCCACAUUUCAUGGAUAUUAGUUGGGUUUAUUACCACUGAGCCACCACAGGAACUCCCCAAAAUGAUUUAAAAAAAAACAUUUUCUAGACUCAAUGAUUUUAAUUUAACUUUAUUUUUAUUUUCUUGUCUUUUUAGGAUUGCACCUCCUGUGAAUCUCCAUAUGCCUCAGGAGCGGCCCAAGAAAUAGUAAAAAGACAAAAAAAUAAAAAUAAAAAAAAUAAAUGAGUGUAAUUCUGUGGACUCCAAUUAUACUUCAAUAAAGCCAAAAAGAUGGGGAAUGGGUGGAAGAAAUAACAAAGGGCAAUUUCCCAUGGGUCAGACCAUCACAGAUGAAAUGCGUGAGAACUUAUUGCAUUCUUGAGGUUCUGCAGGAACAAAUUCUCAUCUGCUGCUGUCAAGAGUGGAAAUGAGGGAGUUCCCACUGUCACUUAGUGGGGUAAGGACCUGGGGUUAUCACAGCUGUGCUAUAGGUCAUAGGUGUAACUCGGAUUUGAUCUCUGGCCCAGGAAUUUCAUGAGUGUGGCCAUGGGUGUGGCCAAAAAAAAAAGGGUGGGAAUAACCCAGUCCAAUGGAGGGGAUCAGACAAAGCUGAAGAAAUUGCCCUGAAACCCAAGGCUCCUUCUAGGGAAAGAGCUUUCCAGAAAUGAUACUUAUAGGGUUAUUUAUUCAUCAAAGCACUGAUUACUAGUAAUCAGUGGGAAACAACCUAGAUGUCCAGCCACAGGGGAUUCACUGAAUAAACUAUGGCCAUUCUUAGCAUGGAAUAUUAUGCAGCUAUACAAAGGAACAAGGCAGCCCAAUGCUGACAGUGAGGAAAGACCACACAGAUGCUUUGUGAAGGAAAAAGCAAGGUGCAAACCUGUCUGGGCAGGAAGCUUCUUCAAUUUGUAUAGAAAGAGAGGAGACCAUAAGGAUUUCCUCAGUGAGGAUUCUUUGCAGAGAAACAGAUGUUUAUGUUUAUGACAACUUGUUCCCCUGGUGGCUGCUGCUGGGGAAGGGUACUGGGGAGCCCUGAUGGGCCAAAGAGAGAGAAUUCGUUUACAUAUUUUACCUUUUUCUUUUUCUUUUUAGGCACGAACCUGCAGCAUAUGGAAGUUCCCAGGCUAGGGGUUGAAUUGGAGCUGCAGCUGCCUCACAGCCACAGACACACAGGAUCCCAGCCACAUCUGUGACCUAGACCAGAGCUCAUGGCAACACUGGAUCCUUAACCCACUGAGUAAGGCUGCAUCCUCAUGGAUACUAGUAAGGUUCUUAACCUGCUGAGCUACAACGGGAGCUCCCUAUUUUUCUUAUUUAUCGUUUUUAUCCAUUUCCCCCCAUGAGUUUGUCAGCUUCCCUAGGAGUUUGGGUUGUCAUCAUGGCUGUGCCCCUAGUACCUGGUACACAGUAGGUACCAGAAGGAAUGAAUUAAUGAAUGAAUGAGGGUUGGGAGCAGGGACAAUUGGGGACAGACAGCAGGGCCUGGAUAGGGUAGCUCUUG
rnacentral:lncRNA from 1 species